CCCUGCUGCUGCCUGCAACAAUUAAUCUGGCCUUUGUACACAUUGCCUCUUUUACUGAUCUUUGUUUUUCAUCUCUUAUUCUUGGUGCUAUUGCUGGUCUCUCAUACAGGGAAUCUGCUGCGCAUUGCCAUUUUUAACAUUAGUUACAUAAGAGGCCUUUUUCCUGAGAAAUAUUUCAAUGAUAAGUCUGUUCCUACCUUAAGGUGUUUAUGAUGCAUUGCAGAAGAAAUACCUAAGGACACUGUUGUUCUGUGUUUGUAAAGGAGUGGAAGGUUCAGUGAUUGAGGAAUAUGCAUUUACUUUAAUUCUGAAAGCCAAGAGGUUUCAAUGAAGAUCAAUUGCACUGUGAUUGAUGAUGCCACUGGUGCUAGAAAGGUCUAUACACCUUAUCAUUUUUAUAUAAUUUCUCUUUCAUGUUUCUAAGAAUCUAAUAUAUAUGUUCAGCUUCUUUGUGAAUGUCUACACUAGCAGUGGUAGUUGACUUAUUUUCUUUUUUUAGAUUCUUCUGGAUUUCUGACAUGUCCUGAUAAUUUUAAGUACACUAGUUUGUUGUGCAAACAUUUUAACAAUUAUCCAUGUAGUAUAAUACUUUGUUUUCUUUCUCUCUCAUGCCAGUUUUUGUAUCUUGAUUUUUCAUUGUUUUUCUCUUUCUUCUGUCCAUUUAUUUUCUAUUCAAACCUGACCGAAAGAAAUGUUGUCUUUCUUUCACAUUAUUGAAUUAGCGGACAUUCACUGAGUGUGGAUUAGACUGCUAUAGCCACAUCUGGUGCAUUUGUUUUCUUAGAUUUCUUGCUAACUGCUUGUUUAAGCUUACUAAUUUUGAAGUUAAUAAUUUGGCAUGUUUGAUCUAAUGUACAGAUAUUUGAUGCUGUGGUACAACUCUUCUUCUUCUUUUAUUAUUAUUAUUAUUAUUUUUAACAAUUCUGAUUAUAUCCCUCGUACAGUUACAGCCUUAUAACUACUCUUUUGUUUGUUUGUCUGUUUUUUUUUUUUUCUCUAAUGAUGCUAAAACACGUCUUGUUUCUCAUAUUGUUAGAUGAAUUAUGAGGACUUUUGCCACAUUGCCUCUGUGUGUACAGAACAAAUAGGCCCUAAAUGUCGACGCUUUUUCAGUCCGUCAAACUUCAUGAAGUUCGAGAAAGAUGAGUCAGGAAGAAUUGUCAUCCUGCCAUUUUACCUUUAUGUCAUGCAUACGAGAUGUACACCAGAAAUGGAUUGAAGGAGGGAACUAUGAGCUUUGUAUUGAGGCCGUAAGAGAUUGGGACAUGGUGAAACCAUCUGACCCUCUACGGAUCACUCUGGCUGAUCUAUUGGCUUGCAAAUAGGGUGGAACUGUUGCCAGCAUGCUUGUAGAUGUGCGCGGUUUCUGGGCCCAUGACAAUAGAGAGAAUCUUCUCCAAGAAGAGGGAGAACCGGAAGAAGAAUGAUAGACGCACCGAAUUCACCGUCAGGCAUGUGUUUGCUGUAUCACGAGAGUUUGCAGUGUCAUAUAGGUUAUAAUUUUGUGAAAUAAUGGCACUAGUGGUAGUGUUAGAUUGGAAUCAGGGGCCACAAAAAAUUGAAGGAAUACUUUUGAAAUCAUGUUUUAUGUCAAUCUAGGAACCCUGUACUGCAUGAUUUUUUUAACAGGUAUAUGGAAGGCAGAGCAAAGGUUGUCAUGUUGUGGGUCAGAUUUCAGCUUUUCAACAUAUUGAUGUUCAUGGUUAACUUAGUCCAUCUCUGUUUGGCUGUAGGAGUAGACAACCCCCUUUGGUGCAAACCUAUAGCAGUGAUAAGAACAACUCAACUGCCGUGCCUGUAAGAAUAAUUUUGUAUGAAAAGAAGUAAAGAGUAAGAACAAAAAAAUUAUCACAUUUUCAUGUUGAAAGAUGAAUAAGUCCAUUUGUUUAGUUCUACAUUCCUCGCACUUAUUACAUAUCCUGACUUAGAUAUAUACUUGGAUCUAUAUUAAUUAGAAUAAUAAUUUCAUUUUCUUCAA